UACAGAGGGUGCGAGCGUUAAUCGGAAUUACUGGGCGUAAAGGGUGCGUAGGUGGUUAUGUAAGUUAGAUGUGAAAUUCCUGGGCUUAACCUGGGGACUGCGUCUGAUACUGCAAAGCUAGAGUACUGUAGAGGAAAGUGGAAUUUCCGGUGUAGCAGUGAAAUGCGUAGAUAUCGGAAGGAACAUCAGUGGCGAAGGCGACUUUCUGGACAGAUACUGACACUGAGGCACGAAAGCGUGGGGAGCAAACAGG
rnacentral:rRNA from 1 species